GAACUCCAUUUUUCUAGAUGGAAGCAAAAUAGAAGUUCAGAGGUUCCAAUUCCUUUGCAUCAUCCAUGAUCACUAUGCAUUCCUCUUCCUGUUCAUGUUCUUCCACUGAACUGUAACCAAAAUAACUUUUGUUAUCUUUAGCAUUUUUUCCUCCAUGCCUCAUCGCCAACAGAUAUUUAGUCCAAGUGAUGCUACUUUUAAAAGAAUUCUCCUAGCUUCUAACCAUUCUUCUCAAUUACUUGCAUCCAUUUCUCUAUUGUACAAAUCCUCGGGGGAAAACUGUUUAUUUUAUAAAAGCCAUAGUUACCAUAGAGAUUUUUAGAAAAUAGAGAAAAUAAUAUAUAAGAAAAUUAAACUCACCCAUACUUUCUCGCCUCCUCGUAAAGUUCCUCAGAUCAAAUAAGUGUUUUAACUGCUUUUCGCUUUUCUCAUCCAUUAUGAUUAUUUAUUAUUGUAUAAUCAGGUUUCUCAUUUAGUUAUUUCUUUUUUAGACUCGCUUUUUUCUUUUUUUUCUUUUUUUUUGGACAGAGUCUCACUUUGUCGCCCAGGCUGCAGUGCAGUGGUGCAAUCUCAGCUCACUGCAACCUCCACCUCCCAUGUUCAAGUGAUUCUCCUGCCUCAGCCUCCAACGUAUCUGGGAUUACAGGCACCCACCACCACGCCCAGCUAAUGUUUGUAUUUUUAGUAGAGAUGGGGUUUCACCAUGUUGGCCAGGCUGGUCUCGAACUCCUGACCUCAAAUGAUUCCCCAACUCAGCCUCCCAAAGUGCUGGGAUUACAGGCGUGAGCCACUAUGCCUGGCCUAGACUCAUCUUUUAAAGCCAUAUUCUUUUUAGUAAAUUUGAUCAUGAGAAUUCGUCUACCAUUUUUUCUGGUUUUGUUUUAAAAUUUUAUUUAUGCAUGUAUUUAUUUUUAAAUCUGCCUUCUUAAAAAAUUGAGGCCAUGUGUCUGGUUGCCUUACAGUUCCCUCUUUUAGGACUAUUAAUGCCUAGAUGAACUAGUCAGUCAUUUCUCCUACCUUCUCAAUCAUAUCUUUCUUUUGAAUUAAAAUUAAACCAAGGAAGACAGGCACUAAUAUCUUCCUCUAACUUGCAAAGGUAUCUCCAAGGAAAAAUCAAGAAUUCUUCACAUGUUCUACUUUUCGAAAAGUAGAUAUCCAAUAAAUAUAUAGGUAAAGUUACAGUGUUUCAGAAUUUUCAUAACUGAAAGGAAUUUGGGGGUGGGGGUUGAUGGAGGAAAGUGUUGCCAUAUCCACUGCAGCCUUCUUUAUGACAAGCACUGUAGUAGGCACUUCACAUACUUUUUUUUGUUAAUACUCUCAAAGAUUACAUAUGGUAAGAACUGUACUGUUUUAGUCCCAUUUUGCAAAUAAGAAAAAUGCAAAUAAUAUAGGUUAAGCAACUUCCCCAAGAUGGAAGAAUAUCUUUAAACAAUAAUAAUUUACAUAUCCAGUGUGCAAACUCCCCUCGAGAUACUGCAUCAACAGUCUACAUUGCUUCUGUCCCAGCUCUGUCAUUUGUAAUAGAAAUACUUCAUCCAGAGCCUGCACUUAACUGGGGUGGUUUAUCUUAUAUUCAUACAACAAUGUCUUUCUCAUUUUCUCUCCUUUGUAUUCUCUCACCCAAAGCCCUCUACAGAGCUGCCAGUCUCAUACUUCUAUAUUUUCAUACAGCCAAAUACUAUCUUUAACAUCCCCUCUCCUUCCUAAAACACCUAUAUCUUUAAAUAAAAAAUAGACUUUGUUGCUCUGUACCAAUUAGUAGGCCCAUCCUUCCAAGCCCUCUUGUAAUAUGUGGAGCUUCAUGUUUACACAGAGUAAAAGAAGCAUGUCUAUUUUAACAGAUUAAACUUUGGUUUGAAAAUGAUCAAAAUAAAGCUUGGAAUACUACGCUGAUCAAAUUUCCCUAAAAGUUGUAUCAAUAAAUCAUAUUCCCCCUUUUUUCUCCCUCAACUCUUUUCCUGGAAAUUAAUAUAUCUUAUUAUGCUUUAUUGGAAGAUGCAAAGACCAUGGCCCAGCACCUUUCUAUGCAUCAUUCUAAUGUUGGUAGCUCAUUACCUAAAUUGAAAACAAAACCAAAGAGCAAAACAAAACCUCGAGGUUACUAGCUCUGGGAUCUUGAGUAAGUCACCUUUUCUACCUUGUUUCCUCAGCUGUAAAAUGAGGAUUAAUGGUAAUACCUACUUGACAGAGUUAAGAGGAUUAAAGUAAAUUGAAUAAUGUAUAAGAAACUGCCAUAUGAACCAUAAAUUCAAUGAUUAUAAUGAUGAUUGUGAUGGUUUGCAAGGCCACAACUCCAUUUGUAAUCAACAUACAAAAUCAAAUAUCUAAAUGUGCAACACUCAAGUAACCAGAGGCUUUUUAUAUUUAUAAAUGGUGUUGAAAAUUUUAAGUUUCCCAGAUUUCCAGGUUUCAUCUUUUUCCCAUGGCAGAAAAGUCUAGGUUGGAUAAGGUGGUUUCUGUCAUUUUAAGAUAUGCUGAAACUUUUUCUCACUAGAUUUGGUGCUUUCUCUGCUGACAGUGGGCACAGGGAGCCAGAAUCUAGGACUGCACUUGGCUUGGUGGGAACCAGUCCUGAGCUGCCUUCCUCCUUGGGGAACAACAUUAGUCUCAGAUUCUAACACCAGGGUUCGCUUUCUCAGGCAAAGGACGGUAGUGCAAUACGGAAGCUAGGGAUAUGCAUUCCUUCUCCCUCCCCUACUGAACCUGCGUCUCCUUCAACCUUGUCUUUCAGGCUCCUUUUCAGGGCAAUAUGGAAGUCUCUGUGCUCAAAGUACCCUCCAUCCUCCAUUGCUUAUUGCUCCACUAAUUUCCAAUUUGGUGGAGUUAAAAAGAAAUACCUCUGGUGGCCUUAAAGUCAAAGGAAGCUGUGUGGUCCUUCUCACCAAAACCUGGCUGUGGCAAAGCUGAACAGAAUGAACAGAAGUUUUGAGUCAUUAUGGGAAGGGGAGGGGCAAACCAUCCCUAGGGAGUUUGGAACAAAGUGCUUUAAGCAGCACCCAAGCACUGGGUAGCAGGGUGGGAGGACAUAAGGGGUCAGGAGGUAGAAGUGAGGCUCAGAUAUGAGGCCCUCAGAUAAACACCUCUCUUUCACCUGCAUCCAGUUUUACCAAGUGCCCACUCUUGUCUCCUUCCUGCCUCCUUAGAUAACAAGAGCAGCACCACUGGAUGCUAGGCCAAGAAAAACGCUUGCCAUCCUCACAAUCAUCCUCUUCCCCAUUUGUUAUGUUCUUACUGGGUAGCAGGCACUGUGCUAAGCACUUUAUACUCAUUGUUCAUCAAAUUAUCACAACACCAUAGAUAUCAUUAGCCUAUUUUGCACUUGAGAAAACUGGGGUCCAAAAGUUUGAUAACAUAUUCGUGGUCACACAAAUGGUAAGCACAGAGCUGGAAUUUGAGGACAAGCCUGUCUGACUCCAGGGAUUCUAAGCUCUUAAUUAUUAGGAGACAUUGACACUCAUUUAACUCUUCUCUUUUCUUUUAUUUCCCCCACCUAUCCACCUCCCAACUUCCUUCAGCCAAAUGAGGCCAGUUUACAUAGCCACCUUCUGAGAAAAGUUACCACAGAUGGUUUCUGCUUCAUAAGUUGCUGGGUUGGUUUUGUGGCCAACCUUGUGUCCUGAGACCUUAUGAUCUUGGCCACAACAGAUUGUUCCAACAACUGCUGCUUAAGCCAAAGUCAACUAUAGGCUGGACUUGCAUUAUCUCAUUUAAUCCUCAUAACAAAGCUUUAAAUUAAGUACUAAUACCAACUGCAUUUUACAAGCGGGAAAACUGACAUUCAGAUAAGUUAACUUACCUGCCUAAGGUGGGACAGCUAGUAAGAAGCAGAACUAUGAUUGGAAGGUAGGUUUAUCUGAAUGCUUGAACACUGUUCUACCUCCCAUUUUUUCAGAGAUCAAUAGAGUUGGCCUGGAACAAGAGAUGCCCUUGAAUGCAAGUUGUAACAACUGAGAGAAAUUGCCCAGACACUGCAACGGGAGUUGCCAACAAAGUAACAGAGUCAGAGAAGAGCUGAGUCUUGGGAAUGAAAAAGUGAUGAGGGGAUGACUUCCACAGUGGGUAUCCGGUCAUUUGGGCUGCUGCUCUGCCCUCAUCAAAGUGAUUUCCACUCUGUGAGUCUCUGAUAUGCAGCUAUAGAACCUGUUGCCUGUUUCCUAAUUUAUCCAUGUGGGCCUGUCACCCUCAUCACCUCAGCAAAGAAGCCUUUGCUAAUUUCACAACAGGAAAGCAUGCAAGAAAUUCGAGAACAAAACAAAUCUACACGCAGAGCCCAGCAUCUUCAAGCAAACACCCUGAGGUACAGACCCGAGGCUAGAUGAGUCCGGACUGCAGAUGAGGCAGCUGCCUCUUAAACUGCAAGGGGACUGAAAAAGUCAUUUGCCUCUAAAAAAACCAACUCUGAAUACAAAUUGAUAAUGAAUAUUCAUGAGCCCCUCCAGCUUGCUCUAGAGCCACCCUUGACUGCAACCCUGGACUCUGCUUCCUAAAAAGUUUCCCAAAGCUCUUUCUCUGCCUCCUCUCAGAAGGAAGAGGGUGGGAAAGUUCAUUCAGGGCUUUUUGCCUCCAGCUUUCAAGUACUUGCUUUUUGGUCUGGGCUUUUAUUUUUCCUUCUAUUUUUUUUUUCUUAAGGAUUCAGAUCAAAUCAAUUUUGGUCUUACCCUUUGUAUCUUCCAUAAGUAGCAGCUUUUGUUUUCCUCCUCUUUCCUCGUCUUUCCCCCCCCCAGCCUCUGCUUGCUGUGGUCCGUCUCCGUGA
rnacentral:lncRNA from 1 species